CUCGAUAUAAAAAUCUAGUUUUUCAAUUUAUUUUGUUAUUUAAUUGACAAAAAAGAUCGAAGCGUAUCAUGAAAGUAUUCCAUUUACAAAAGUACUUUUUCUUUUUAAACAUCACUUUACUGCUUCUUAACUGCUUCGUAAUAUUCUAUCGUACGUAGCUAUGGCGAUUGUAGAGUACAAAAUCAUUGGGAUUGAAUUUAUACCUAAUUCUACAAUUAAAAUUCAUCUUGUCAAAGAUAAACAAACGUGUUUAGGCAUUUCUAAGCGGUAGCGGUAUCUAUAUACAUUGAAUUGAAUUAAUUAACGCGGAUUUAUGUAGAUGGCAGGACGACUGCGCCGAUUGUUGACCACUAUUAAAAAUCGCGCCAAAUUAGUGAACUCGUGAUCUCUCAUUCCGCCGACUGUUCUUCGUGAUCCACUUUAAACUUACAAGAGUUCUUUAGUCUUUAGUUCUUUAUCGUAUCCUUCUCGGUCGAUUCUCGAAUCUAUUGAACGUCUACCCGAUAUUCGUCUCGUGAUACGAGCAGUGUAGUGUAUCCGUCAAUUUAAUAAGGCAUAUCCCUGUAGCACACCUUGUCACAUUGUCAUCGUCGAAUAAACUCCUUUUCGAAGCGGUCUAACCUCUUAAAACGGUAAAGAACCUUUGGUCUUUACUUCUUUAAACGCGGUGAUAGAGUGGUUGAAAGGUGAGGAGGCACUUGAGCGGUGCCGGAAGAGACGCGAGGACGUACUGAAGGGGUUGGCUGGUCUGCCUUUAUGCCGUAACAACGAGGGCCCACUUCAUAGGGCAGGAAGCACAAAGACGAGAAUUUACCCGUGCCAUUCUGCCCACUCGUGUUCCCUGUCCGCACAUCUCGAAGUUCAUGAUUCCAAGGACAUGGAAUUUUCAAUAGAUUAUGCAGAGAUCGAGGACCAGAAAAUACAUGAUCCCAUAGUUAUAAAAAUCGUCACAAGUUAUCUGAAAGUCAAAGAAUCUCGAGACGUAUUCAUGUAACAUACUUUGUAACACAAUUUAUAUUUAAAAAUGAUCUUUACUUUUAUACGCAUAUGAAUCAACUUUGUGCGUUUAUAUCAAUUGGCACCAAUUGGUUGUCGUAUCAUAUGUUUACCUUUAAUAUAGGUAUUAAAAUAUUUAGACAAAAAUAUUGAUCGGUAGCUGUAAUUACGAUUACAACUACUUUAGAUCUCGAGAAUGGUGAUGCAACCAGGAAACAAGGAGCAGACAAUGGUAUAACGCUUGAUCAGAAGUGAAAUGUCAAGGUAAAGAGCAGUAAAGAGGCUCAAGCGUGUUCGAUGAACAGCACGCAACCGUUAGCCUAACAAGCUGUCAAGACGUCGCCGCGUGUCAAUCCAAUGGUCUCUACGCACCCUUCGAAUAAAUCUACUGGGAGUCUGUUUCCACCCCCUUUCUCGACGCCGCACCAACCAGAACUGCUGUUGUCUCUCAACCACCGCUUGCAAACUUUUAGCCCUUUGAAUGAUUUAACUUCUUAGAUUGCGUUCCUCUUGUAUCCAGUCUUGCAUAUUCCUUAUCUUUCAAAGAUAAAUUAAGCUGGAGCAAGUCAAUUAUCGGUAGACUGGAUUUUUAUGCAUUUAGAUGAAAUUUAAUAGUGCAAAAAUGUACGGAACGCGUAUAAUAUGCAAAAAUACAUAGAAUACCCAAAGUAGAGUAUCGAUUAAAAAACGUAAAUUUGUAUAAAAAUCCAAGGUGUAAUAACCGACAGAAAGCAUACUAUUUUGUCUCCUUCUUAAUUUCAAAACUUUGCAAUUUACUGCUUUGGGAUCUUAAUAAAAUUAUCAGCUACGAACGUGUUGGAAUUCGAUGUUUUAUUGAAUUAUUAUGGCUGUAUUUAAUCAGGGACAUGUGAUCGAAUCAUCUCUCAAUAAUACGGUCGCUUAUAAACUCUUAUUGAUCCUGCAUGGAAACUUUCAUAGAUCUUAUCUACUAGCUAACAUAAUUUGAUUUCCUCGAAUUAGUACGUGCGUGUGGGGUGCCUUGUACGUACGAUAAUCUUCUCCCCUUUGAUCUACCUAUGACGUACUGUUUCAGAUUAUACACUUUGUAAUCUGUAAUAUACUCAAUCUAGCGUACGAUGUAAUGUAAAUUUGUCGAUCACAUUUAGCGGUAUAAAAUCACUGGACUUUUUAGACUUCUCCUGUAAUUUUUUAAGAAUAUUGCCGUAUUCUUUAUAAAAGCUAUUUAUAUGAUGAUUAUUUCACGUAAUAUUGUAGAUAUUAAAAUAUCGUGAAACGAAUACUAUAUCGUUUUGCAUUGUUUGAAAUGAAAAUAUAAAUGAAACUGAUUAAUACAUUUUCAUAGAGAAUAUUAACGAGCGACACCGAUUAUUAUUAUUAUUAUUAUUAGAUAAAGAUAAAUGAUCUUUACCUGAUCUUAACGCCUCCAUUGAACAAUAUAAGCACCUCUUAUCUCUUCUUUCCGGUCUCCUGUAAUUCUUCUAAAAAUAUUCCCUUUCAUAUGAUGUACAAGUACUUUUUGAGAUUUUUAUAAUAAUAGAUCAAGAUCAGACACCCUGUAUAUGCUUUCUUAGAAUCUAGGGAAAAUUAUAGACCGCUGUUACCAAUGCAAUUAUCAGGUAGUCGACUUUUGGAUGGCGCGCAACACGUUUUGUAAUUCAGUUCGGCGAAAUUGUGCGAUUUUCUCAUCAGCAUCUCGACCGCGUGAAAUCAGAUUAGCGAUAAACGAACUCGCUUCGUUACAUCGUUACACGUUACGAUAUCAAUUUGUAACAUGGAAGACCCGUUACAGUAUGAAUAAUAAUAAUCGAAGUUUAGAGUUUAGCACCUAUCAUUGGUAGAAUAUUUCAAAAACAUUUUUGCGUGUUAAGUCUCAAACUUGUUAAAAUGUUACGUUAAAUCUGUUCGUUGGAAAUUCUAUUUUUCCAGGUAGGAAAAUAAAUUUCCCAACGAAUAGGUAUAUAACGCAAUAAUUCACAGGUAAUUAGAAUACUAAUCGCGUAGAACUCAUUAAGAAAUCAUAUUCAACAAUACUAGGUUCAUUUUACAGACACAUAAACGUCUCAAUAUUCCAUAGAUUAUAGUUUUUCCAAAGUCACAUCUUCAUCUUCUCUAAUCAUUCAAUAAUUCCAAAACUCCUAGAUAUACAAAUCCUUAUGACGAUGAAGUCUCCUCACUAAGUAAACUCUUCUCAGCUCUCAGUACCUAAGAUAUUAAGUACAUAUAUACAUCUGCAGGAUAAAGUCAUUCAGACAUCAUCCAUCUCAAGCGUCAAGCAAUGCAUUAUGUAGACUUGAUGAGUUGGCUCUCAAAUGAAACGUGGGCAUUGAUUUAUUAUUUCUAAUAGAAUCAAUACGGUCAUAAAAAGAGCCAAGCGUGUCGAUGAAAGAUGUACAGAUAUCAUACAACACCGAUGAUGUGCAAGAGUAUUCCUCUUAUUCCAGUGCUGUCUCAUAUGCUAACUUGUACUAUAUCACUAGCGAAAGCGAUACUGAAGUUGUAAAAUUGGUUUCCGAUUGAAAUGUACAAUUUUCAAUAACCUCGGUCCAUAUAGGUAUAUAUAAUCUAUAGGUAUAUUUGAUUAUUUUUUUACGUACUCAUCAGUACUUUAGUUCAUAAAAAAAUGCACCCACAGUACCCGUACAUUUGCUUUACUGUUGUAUACUUCACUAUAUAAUCCCCUCCGUUAAGUAUAGCAUCUCUACACAGUACACGUUAAGAUUAACAUUAAGGUUGACUUGAUUAUUAUCCGUUUUAGAUGAACAAGGAGCGACACACACUUGCAAAGAAAGAAAGACAAAGAAGAAGAGACCGUGAAAGACACAGCCAGGUAGCUGUCUAUUCGAAGCCACCCUCGCGCUUUGCAGACUGCAGUAUCCUGUGCUGCGCAUAUCGGUACCGAACCCCUAUGACGGAAAAUAAUGAAAGUAAUGGGAACCCGCCCACUGCAUUUAGUCCGCGCAGCUACCAACCCCCAUUCAUCCCCUCGCUGCCUCUCUCGUCGUUCCUCUGCCCACCCUGUCCGCAUCACCGGGGGUUCUCUGUACUUGCCGCCUUGUUCAUUCUCAUCCAUCCUAGCCUUGCUCCAUUGGCUAUUGUACCUGCCAUUUCAUUGUCCUUUAUUUCAUUAUUUUCGCCGCAUUCCUGUCUCCCUUUUGCCUGGCAAGGGGUGCGAAUUUUCCCCCUUUAUUUACGGUGCCGUAAUAACAGACGUCUUAACGGAAUUUAAACGUCAUAAAUGGCCUGCCAUGAUCUCAUUAGUUUACGAGAUAGUUGCUUUCUCUUCCUACCUUUUCUCUUCUGCUUGUUGCCUGUGUGGUUCCGUUGUUCGGCGUACGACAAAGCUUAUUCGAGAGCGAGCAAUAUCGCGAACCUGAGAUCUGCCGUUUCGACAUCAAAGAAAAUAUUUUGUAAUAUAGCUUAUGCGUGCGCACGGUUCAAUGUUGAAUGCGAAUGUUUAAGGUAGGCAAAGCCGAAAGAGUGCGUCGAAAUGAAGUUGAUGUUGGUACACGAUAUUGUGAAGAUUUGGUCGUUGUUGAAGUUUAUUUUAAGCUCUUAAUCUGUUAGAAUAAUAUUGGCGAUAAUCAGACUGCGAAUAUUUGUGAUAUGCAAAAAUUUUGUUCACUCAUUAUAUAUACACAUUGUGACAAGUAUUUAGAUAUUUCACAUACUUUUUGCGUAUUAUGGGUAUAAUAUGUAUUUUUGCACCUUUAAAUUUUCCAUAAAACAAUCUGCAAUCUAGUAGUAAUCUUUAUGAAUGUGUUUCUAUCUGAUAUCGUACAGUAUGUUCAGAAGAAUUGCUACUUCAUGUCCUAGGUAAUAUUUUAACGAAUUGUUUACUAACUGUUUGUUACAUCACAUGCGUAAAAUUCAUUAACGGUUCUUUAAUCUUUUCCAGACAUUUUCUGUGAUAGAACACGUGUCUUUAUUCUUCAUACCUUGAACGAGGGCGUAUGUCAGGAGAAGGUGUGAUGAAAGGUUUUGACGCUUGACCCUUGCCGAACGUGUCGAUGAAGCGGCGAAGGAAAGGAAUGAGAAAUAACGUUAUCGAUCUCCGAAUACGCAAGGCUUUUCGUCAUCUUCCAAUUUCUUUACCUCAAAAGAAAAAAAAAAAAAAAAGAAGAAGAAGAAAAAAGGAAGAAAAUAUACGAAUCCCGUGCCAUUAAUUCCCACGAUUCGAAGCUAAUCAAACGUAUCAUCAGACGUUAUACGAAACCCUAACGAAACCGAAAGGAAGCGUAACCGACAGAGAAAAUGCCUCUAAAAAGCUACCUCCUCGGUUCUUAUCUUAGUGGUCAGAAAAUCGACUGAUCAAAUUGGGUCAGAUAUGUGCCGGUACACAACUAUAAGGUCCUCGACAGCAGCCCUCGGCCGUGGGCAAUCGUGAAUGUAGGUCUGGCCAAGCACUUAGCCGAUAAUUGACUAAUUUUCUCGAAGACCGAAUCGAGAAGACAAGAGCUUCCUAUGAAUGAACAGAAAUCCGAAGACUGGUAAUCGUUUAGUCGAUAUCGAGAUCAGGAGAAUGAUAGAAGCGUUUUCCGAAGAAGAAGAUGGGACCUAAUUGUCUGGUUAUCGUUGAUCAGUAAUCGAACUAACAUCACGAGGCAUGUUCCGAGGAAGAUGAGCUUUUAGAUUACGCAAUUAGAAUACGAGAAUUCACUUGAAACAGCAGCAAUAUGAACGUGAUUCAGAAUCACGACGAAUGAAUUCGUUAUUUCUGACGAAGAGAACGAUAGCGAGAAGGACAUCUUUAAAAAUCCUUAGGAUUUCCUUUUUCUUCGCAUGCGUGAAAUUAUAUCAGAAAACAGGAUUCGAUAACGCAAACUGACCGAAAGAAACAAAGAAAGAACGUUGCGAACGAAACAUCGCGUUAACAAAACUUUCAUCAUCUCGAUACGUUUCCGACGUUUUUAAACUUUUAAGAGCGAUAUUGAAUAUCGCGGACUUGUUCCGAGUUUUUGCGGAGUAUCUUUCUUUUUUUUUUUUUCCUGGCGACGCAGAAUUCCAAAUAUGAUUUAUGAGCAAUUGAUUAUGUAGGACACAUCGUGUUGUUAAUCCGAGCUAAUUGAUGCGAAGCAACGCGAGCGGUCGCGUGUUUAUCGAAAAGUCGAUACAUGUGUUUAGCGGUAAUUACGCAUUGUUAGGCGGAUACGAAACUGCACGGGGGUUCCAGCAAUUGCAAUUAAACGCUUGCAUUAGCUACGCGAUGCGUGAAAAUUUUAAGCGUCAUCGAGUUUAUAAUAGGACGCUAACUUUCCAUUUUAUCAGCUAUAACUUUCCCCUGAAGUCGUGAUCGCCCGUUUCGCCUGUCUGAUCACCUGUCCUCAAAGUUUUUUUACCUUUCCAAUUUGUUACCCGUAUUUAUUUUAAUAAUAAAACCCGUAAUAAUUUUAUUACGAAAACAAAAUCUUGCGCUCGCUUUAAGAAAAGUCGAACGUAUUUUUCAAUUCGUUGUUCAGAGGGCAAGAGGUUGGAACUUUCACGGGUUCAAAUAAAACUUUAGAUAGAGACUCGAUGUUCAAACGCAUAAGUAGCAAGUCGCUGACGAGUAGAAUACAUACACGGCGCUUUGAAUUAGAUUCUACAAGACGAUAUUGCUGACACAAAAAUUUUAAGAAUUGUAUGGACAAUUAUAAACUGAUUUCGUAAAGAUAUUACGCAGACGAUGAUUCAUAUACGUCGCCAAUAGCGAAAAUCAUGAUCUAUGAUUCAUAUUUCAUUUCAUAAGAGUUCUUUUCGCCAACGUUGAAAUGAUUCCUGCACGAAUCGCUUUAUAAAGUAACUUACAAACAAAUUGUACGUCAGACAAGAUAUAUACUAGUUACUAGUUAAUCAUUUCUAGCAUAAGCAUUCAUUUCUAAUGUAAGAUCGUAUAUUAGACCAGAUAUAUGAUAUAAUGAUUGUGAUAAACUCUCGUAACUGUUAAUCGUUCCUAGUGUCAAUAAUUCCAUUUUUUCUUUGUAUAAAAACGCGGAGAAACAUAGAUAUUUUCGUUCAAUUUCAGCUGAUACCAUUACGGUCUCAAAAGCUGCCAAUCCUCCGCGAAAUUGUCAGGCGAGAGACACAUAAUUACGAGAAAGUUAAACCCUUGAAAAGAAUGUGUGCACGUUAGCUGUUUUAUUUGUAACGAGUCUGUUAUCGAGCCUGAAUCUGCAAGAAUCUUUUCUAGAUUCUGUUGUAAACGAAGUCUAGCUUUCCUUAUUAUCAGGAUGAAAGAAUAUGAGAUUUGCUUACCGGCAGGCGAUGUAACGGAAACGGAUUGACCGGUGCAUUGCUGAUUAGAAUUCUGGUUACCAUUGCUUCCAGCGCUGGUGUUCAAUUUCCUCAAUUGUUUCUUGUGCUUCAUCCGGCGAUUUUGAAACCACGUUUUCACUUGGGUCUCCGAGAGAUGAAGAGCCGCCGCGAGCUCUACCCUCUCCGGUGUACUCAGGUACCUCUGCACCUCGAAUCUAGCUUCCAAACCCGCUAAUUGUUGAUCGCUGAACACCUAAAUACGACACAAACGAUUUCUUGCAAGCCUGUACGAACUUUUACUUAUGUCGACGAUAGCGUUUUUAGUAAUUUUGUUUUGCCUGAUAAAAUUACUUGCACGAUUGAUCGAUAUUGUUUCGACGAUUAAAUUAUUUUCAUUGACAUUUCCAUGAACGUUGCUAACCGUUUUCGUUUAAUCUUGUCAUAACAAAUUCAUAUAGAAUUUCGUUAGUAGCAUACUAGUAGGAAACUGAAGGUAGAAUAUUGCAGCUGUGAAAACGAGCAAAGAUAGAAUUUAGGUGGUCGGACAAUGGAAUUUUCUUAGCGUAACGAACCACUUCAAACAAGCCUACACUUGUUACUAAAUAGUUUUGGUUUCUCUAUUGGGUAAAUUACCAGGAAACGUUAAUAACAAAAGUUAGAGCGACAAUGUAAAAAUUAAAGAAAGGAUACAGCUGCGUAAUUUACUAUGAAAGAUCUUGGCUCAAUAUAAGAAACAUACACAGAAUGCUUCAAACCCUUGCUUUGCCAUUUUCUUAGUAGCUAUUUAAAUGAAGUUAAUUUAAGAUGUAACUAUCCACUGUUGUAACACCAUGUCGGAUGCAAAAUGUCAUAAAAUUUAAUGCGGUUAAAGUUUAAACUAAAAUUAGUUUAAUCUAAAUUUCUAAUAGUUGAAAUCACAAAAUUUGAAAGUAAGCAUCGUCGCUGAAUUGAAACUACGAUCCGCGUUACGAGUAUGAUUCGAUACUUUAACAUUAGAAUUGCCAAUUAUAGUGAAAGCACUAUGACGAAAAUAAAUCUAUAAUCAUAAUCAUUCUGAUUUCAAUGAGAUCAAUAUCGAUUUCGUGAAAAGCGCAUUCGUACGUUUUCAAUAAUUAAAAGAAAAUGAAGGAAUUAAAAAGCAAAUCUCUAUAGCCGUAACGUUUCGAUAUUUUUAUCUUCGUAUCGAGACAAGUGAAUCAUGCAAACGACCACCAGUGGAAGAGGCAAAAGAUAAGGGUUACAAGUGGUUUCACUCACUGUUCGUGCCUUUCGUCGACGGCAGUGCUUCAAGGCCGCAAGUUCAGUAACUCCCGGUACCACGCCAACCCCCAUCG